rnacentral:rRNA from 1 species
AUACGUAGGGUGCAAGCGUUAAUCGGAAUUACUGGGCGUAAAGCGUGCGCAGGCGGUUUUGUAAGACAGAGGUGGAAUCCCCGGGCUCAAACUGGGAACUGCCUUUGUGACUGCAAGGCGAGAGGACGGCAGAGGGGGAUGGAAUUCCGCGGGUAGCAGUGAAAUGCGUAGAUAUGCGGAGGAACACCUAAGGCGAAGGCAAUCCCCUGGGCCUGUACUGACGCUCAUGCACGAAAGCGUGGGGAGCAAACAGGAUUAGAUACCCUGGUAGUCCACGCCCUAAACGAUGUCAACUGGUUUUUGGGUCUUCAUUGACUCAGUAACGAAGCUAACGCGUGAAGUUGACCGCCUGGGGAGUACGGCCGCAAGGUUGAAACUCAAAUGAAUUGACGGGG